UUGCUCUUUUGCUAACACUGUCGUGUUCCGUUAACGGGUUGUACCGUCUCAAUACCUAUAUCCUCUCAGCCCUGCUCUACCGACAUCUCUCUCAACAAAGCAGGUUCUUUGUUCGUGUCGUGAUUUAUAAAAAUUAAUGGUAGAUCUUUUCGCACACACGUAUACUCGGGCUCAACUAUCCGUCUCUCUACUAUCUCUUAGCUCUCUCAUGUUCAUGUCUUGAUUAUAAUUUAUAUAAUGUGUCAGUUGUACAAUGUGAAGGAAGUACCGUAAUUGAUGUAAUUACAGCGCCACCAUAAUUUAAGCGCCACAUCAGCAUCAGCAUAAUUUUUUAGGCCCUAAAAAAGCGCCAACCGUUGCUGGAAUUAUUUUUUUCUGGCACUUAUAAAAAGGCUUGUUUGAGACAUCAAGACAAUCAUCCUGCAUCUUUGACUUUCUUCACUUCUAAACAGUUGUCUAACCCAUAGCUACAGUCAAUGAAUGUUGUUCACGAGUCACUCAGCUCUCAACGGUGCCAUAGCUACAGUCAAUGAAUGUUGUUCACGAGUCACUCAGCUCUCAACGGUGCAGCUAGCAAGUGAAACUGAGCUAGACCACGCCCAUUUUCUCUACAAAUUCUAUACUAGCUGUUGAACAUAAGCGCCACCAUAAUUUAGGCGCCAGCUUGGGCUGAACGCAAUUUUUUGUGUUAUAAAGACGUGCCACUCAGAAGUGGAAUUAAUUUUUUCUGGCGCUGUAAUUACAUCAAUUACGGUACAGGGUUCCCAUUAUUACUGUUUGAAGUGGCUUGCCCCAGCCUGCGAUCUAGUUGCAAUAUCCUAUGGUCUUAGGUGUAGACAUGUCGUUACCUUGCUUAUUUUGCUACCCAGAACUCAAUGGAAUCGAAAACGAAAACGAAAACAAACAAUCUGGAUGCGGAUAAAAUAAUUGUUGCUCUAGAUGAUGAAUGUGAGAUUGACCCAGUGUUAUACAUUGUCUUCUCAUCGUCAGAGAUUCUUCACAAUUGUUUGGGCCCAGCGAUUGUUGCACCUCCAGAUGAAGACGCAAUUCCGUCACCACAGCAAGGUGAUGUUUGACCCCUUUGUAUUUGCAGGUGCAACUGCUGCACAAAGUGUAUAAGCCGUGACGACUUGGGUGAACGCUGUUGCCAAAAAGGCUAUUGGCAUCAGUGCGUACAAAAAUUGUCUGGCAACAGAUCAACAUGGCAUACCCAUUACACCGGGGUUACAUCUUGACAAAUUACGGUGUCACCAUGUUUCAGAUAUCCUUACCUACCUGAACCGGUAUACUACCUGGAUGCUUAACUGCAAGUUGGCAAACCUGUCCAUGGGAUCUGUGUGCCAAGUUACAUGAUCAGAAUCCAAAAUGAAAAUCACAAAAUGUUCUGUUGGCCCAUUUUAACUGUGAAUCCUUUAACUGAACCAAAAAUGUAUAAAAUGUUUUUUAACUUUUUGUUGUAAAUAAUCACAGAAACCAGUGGUUAAUUAUUUGAAGUUGAAAAAUUUAAUUAUG